CCCAGAGCAGGUUCUAAGCAAACUUACGGUUGAGCUUGGAAGAGAAAUGCGUGUGCGUGUGCGUGUGACAGAGAGCAGCAGGAGCCUGCGAACAAGCGGGCAGGUCCUGCCCCUUUGCACCCCAUCCCUCAACCUCCCCAGCCUCAGUGACUUCAUUUGAAAGUGGCAAUGAUGUCAGCCCUGCCUGCUGUCCCCAGGUCGGCUCCCCAGAUGGCACACUGAACACAGCAGUGCUUUGUGCAUAGCACACACUUUAACAGGUAGUAGUGAAAUAAUUACCCUUCUAAUAAAUACAUCGCUUUUCUUUUGCAGUAAAUCUAGCAGGAAAUGGGUGAGAUCUGAUGAGGAAAACAACCUCCUGAAGGGCACAGAGUGGACCUGGAGCCCGCUGUGUUUCCGAACGAGGAGCCUCCCCUUGGGGACAGAGAUGUCUCCUCUCUAAAAUGAGUCCCCGUUGGGGCGCCUGGGUGGCGCAGUCGGUUAAGCGUCCGACUUCAGCCAGGUCACGAUCUCACGGUGAUCUCACGGUCCGUGAGUUCGAGCCCCGCG
rnacentral:lncRNA from 1 species